ACCUUGUGAUAUUUCCUGAAUCCUCUCCUGUCCCUUUUCGAUUCAUUAGAACAAUCAAAAAUGUGGCUAAACCUUGUGUCCUUACUAGUAGUCCUCAAAGGAGUCCAGUCUCAAGUGCAGUUCGUGGAGUCUGGAGGAGAUCUGCGAAGACCUGGAGGGUCCCUCCGUCUCUCCUGCCAAGCCUCUGGAUUCACUUUCAGCAGCUAUCACAUGGGCUGGGUGAGACAGGUUCCAGGGAAAGGACUGGAAUGGGUGGCCUACAUAAAUCCAGGCUCAUCUGGUACUUACUACUCAGAGAAAGUGAAGGGACGCUUCACCAUCUCCAGGGACGAUGCCAAAAGCCAGCUGUAUCUGCAAAUGAACAGUCUUAAAGCUGAAGACACGGCUGUCUAUUACUGUACAAGAGGCACAGUGAGAGGAAGUGAAUCUGAAGCCAAACAAGAACCUUCAUUUCUUCAGAGCAGUUCUUCAACUUGA